UUUUGGGGGUAGCUUGCUACCUGCCGGCGAGUGGCGAACGGGUGAGUAAUACAUCGGAACGUGCCCUGUAGUGGGGGAUAACUAGUCGAAAGACUAGCUAAUACCGCAUACGACCUGAGGGUGAAAGUGGGGGACCGCAAGGCCUCAUGCUAUAGGAGCGGCCGAUGUCUGAUUAGCUAGUUGGUGGGGUAAAGGCCCACCAAGGCGACGAUCAGUAGCUGGUCUGAGAGGACGAUCAGCCACACUGGGACUGAGACACGGCCCAGACUCCUACGGGAGGCAGCAGUGGG
rnacentral:rRNA from 1 species